CAAGAGCAGCAGAAAAUAAAAUGUGACCGCUGAUGAAGGUCUAAUGGGACUGAAACGUCCGGUCUAGAGAUUCUGUUUAUACCUUGGAAACAAAUAUUGGGCAAUUGGAUGAAGCUACUGUAUAAUUAAAUAAAC